rnacentral:rRNA from 1 species
GAUGAACGCUGGCGGCGUGCUUAAUACAUGCAAGUCGAGCGAACAGACGAGGUGCUUGCUCCUCUGACCUUAGCGGCGGACGGGUGAGUAACAAGUGGCUAACCUACCUAUUAGCCUGGGCUAACUUCGGGAACCCGGAGACAAUACCGGAUUAUAUAUAGAACCGCAUGGUUCAAUAGUGAAAGACGGACUUGCUGUUACUUAUAGAUGGAUCCGCGCCGCAUUAGCUAGUUGGUAAGGUAACGGCUUACUACGGCGACGAUGCGUAGCCGACCUGCGAGGGUGAUCGUCCACACUGGAACUGGGACACGGUCCAGACUCCUACGGGAGGCAGAAGUAGGGAAGCGGCCGCAAUGGGCGAAAGCCUGACGGAGCAACGCCGCGGGAGUGAGGAAGGUCCUCGGAUCGUAGAAGUCUGUUAUUAGGGAAGAACAAAUAUGUAAGUAACUAGGCACGUCGUGACGGUACUGAAUCAGAAAGCCACGGCUAACUACGUG